rnacentral:rRNA from 1 species
GUGGACCUCGGAUCAGGUAGGGAUACCCGCUGAACUUAAGCAUAUCAAUAAGCGGAGGAAAAGAAACCAACAGGGAUUGCCUUAGUAACGGCGAGUGAAGCGGCAACAGCUCAAAUUUGAAAUCUGGCUCUUUCAGGGUCCGAGUUGUAAUUUGUAGAGGAUGCUUUGGGUACGGUAGCGGUCUAAGUUCCUUGGAACAGGACGUCAUAGAGGGUGAGAAUCCCGUCUGCAACCGUUUGCCUGUGCCCGUGUAAAGCUCCUUCGACGAGUCGAGUUGUUUGGGAAUGCAGCUCAAAAUGGGUGGUAAAUCUCAUCUAAAGCUAAAUACUGGCCAGAGACCGAUAGCGCACAAGUAGAGUGAUCGAAAGAUGAAAAGCACUUUGGAAAGAGAGUUAAACAGUACGUGAAAUUGUUGAAAGGGAAGCGCUUGCACCCAGACUUGCAUGCCGUUGAUCAUCCGACGUUUUCGCCGGUGCACUCAAUGGUGUUCAGGCCAGCAUCAGUUCUGGUGGUUGGAUAAAGACCUUGGGAAUGUAGCUCCUCUCGGGGAGUGUUAUAGCCUUUGGUGUAAUGCAUCCUACCGGGACUGAGGUCCGCGCUUCGGCUAGGAUGCUGGCGUAAUGGUUGUAAGCGGCCCGUCUUGAAACACGGACCAAGGAGUCUAACAUCUAUGCGAGUAUUUGGGUAUCAAACCCACAUGCGUAAUGAAAGUGAACGGAGGUAGGAACCUUAGGGUGCACUAUCGACCGAUCCUGAUGUCUUCGGAUGGAUUUGAGUAAGAGCAUAGCUGUUGGGACCCGAAAGAUGGUGAACUAUGCUUGGGUCGGGUGAAGCCAGAGGAAACUCUGGUGGAGGCUCGUAGGGGUUCUGACGUGCAAAUCGAUCUCGUGACCUGUGCAUAGGGGCG